GGUGGGAGAAGCUAAGGGGGGGGGGAUGCGAAGGCGAGAGAAAGAGAGCGAGGAAAAAUGGGUCUUUCUCUCGCCUUCGCAUUCCCCCCGCCCUAGCUUUUCUCACCCU
rnacentral:miRNA from 1 species